GAAGAGAUUGAGAAUUAGCCAUUUGGAAACAGAUAGAGGUGUGGAUGAGAUUUUCAGUCCAAGGCCGCCAGUGCCAACUGAGUGAUUAUAUAGACAGACAGGCGUCAGCAUCAAUCAUUGUUAUCUUCUUCUUUUUUGGUCAACAAUCAUUGUUAUCUGUCUUAAUUAACCAUUAAUAAAACUUUUGACAAACAGAUGAAGGCCAGUUGACAUGUAUGUGCUUGGUGUAAGUUUACCAUCAAAGCUUGAUGUAGAUUGUUGGCUCCCUCUAUAACCGCUUAGGUUUUUUAAGAUUAAUGGUUGUUUGACAUGGUAUUUGAGACUUCUUUAUGGAUAGUUCUCAGUUCAAUAUUAAGUUUUUUGACACUAACGAUGUCCUAACACAUGAUACCAUGAACAAAAAUAACAAAAGAUUGUAGCCUUUUUUAUUUAUAUUUAUUAUUUUAGUUUUUAUGUAGGAAAUUAUAUGACUUAGACUGUAGUAAAUCAAAUAUAGAUAUUGUUCAGGCCAAGCACUGCCUAAACUCCAACUUAGCAUAGAGGGUAGCAAAGAAGGGACUAUUUUUGCUGAACAAAAUUUCUAGGUGGCCUGUGACCCAUCUCUUCCUUUGGGUCAACAAACCAUGAGAAGAUGAGAAUGCAGAGCCCAUAAAGCCUGGUGGGUCUAGCAUGCAUAAGAUAGACUUCCAGCCUCUUGCAUGGAUCUUCAUCCCAGUUAGGAUAUCUUCUGAGACUGACCCAUAAAUCCAACCUACCUGAAAUGAGUCAGCCCAACUAUGUCAAAAUUACUUCACGAGUAAUGUUUCGGUGUGACAGUCAUGUUAUAACGAAUGUAUUUACUUACUAAUAUUAUAGUCUAGAUUCAUUAAAUAUUAAUCAUAUUGUUUACUCGAUUUAUACAACUAAUAACUUGUUAGUUAGUACUCCUCGCCCCCACACAACUCAAUUAAACUCACAUAAUUCAAUUAUGCUCCCUCAUCCUCAUGGACAGAGUCUUAGGUCCACCAAUGUUACUACUCUUUUGUCCCCACAUAACUCAAUUAAUGUCACAUAAUCCAACUAUGUCCCAUCAUGGACAAAGUCUUUGGACCACCACAGUCCACCAAACUCACAUGCUCAAAAUCUUGAGCCUGUCGGUGUGACAGUAACCCUACAAAUCUUUUUCAUUUUCAUCAGUCAUGAGAUGCGAUAGAAAUAAUUAUUUCAUAUACACGAUGCACAACAGGUUUUUUAAGCUAAACGUUACGUUGAUGUCAGCUUGUUGAAGCAAGUUUUGUCUUCCAACUUGUUCAGUUUGGUGGGCUCACUUUUUGUUAUGGCAACUUUUUCUUUAUAAGGGUUGUUUUUGGAGCCUAAACCUCUUUCUGCCAGAGAAAAAAAGGAUGAAUGAAAGUGCUCUUAAGCUAACCAGGGGCAUAUAGUUUUUUUUUUCUUCGUUAAUAAGAAAAGAAAACAUAUAUAAUUGGUCAAAUCUUUGUCCCUCAUAAUAUAUUAUACUCGUACGCAGAACCAGCAACUUUGUUGGCUGCCUCAACAACAGCAAUGGAAAGGUCACGAGGAUGAUCAAUUUUCUCUGAUAAAAUAUGAGUUGCUGAUUCGAUGAACUCCAUGGAAUUUCCAAACCCUUCUUUAUCCAAUGCCACAUCUGUCAGAUUAAGGAUAAACCAUAGAUAACUUUACGUCUGUGAAAACAUCCGGUCCCUGCAUAGAGAGGUCCUUGUAUCCCAGCGAAUCCCGUCCAAAUUGUCUACAAAAUAUAGCCUCUAUACAUUAGUUAGAUGCAUGCAUGUAAUACAAAUAUGUAAUAUUCUAAUCAAUGGUCCAAAAUUCAAGUAGGGAAGGUCUCUAAAAUAAAUCAAUUAUGCAUGUCUAAAAUAAAUCAGUUAUGCAUGUCUGAUGCAUAGAACAUCUCACAUGAAGUGUUCAUAAUCGAGAAUGAUAAAUUUACCAUAUUCGUCAAUAAAAUUGCAGAUUACUUUUCUUAUAGAAGUAAGAUUUACUUGCAUGAAAUUGGUCCUUUGAAAAUCUCACAUAUCUUCCUCAAAUAGAUUUAUUUUUUUACCUUAAGACGUCUGAGUAUGAUUACGUAAAUAUAGUUUAAUGUUUGCAUAUGGUGAACUAAAAAAGAAAACAAAAACUUGAAUCAAUUAUUAAAAAAGAUUGGCAACACAUUGAACUCUUUUGAAAUUGAUUAGAUAAUGUUGUUCUUUAUUACAUCAUGGUCACAAUAUGGCUAGAUGUAGAGUAGUAUAAUAAAUACAUUUAUGUAAAAGAAUGGGCAUCCUUCUUUUAGUGUUUUAAGCGCCAUUUUUUGGUGUCUCCCCUUCUUGGUUAUAUGUUGUGCUUCGAAAGACUCAUUUUAGUUUAUGACCACCAUCUCUGCACUCAUUCUCCUUCUCACAACCUCUGUUAUAAGAGUUGGAUUUUGGAGGCAUGCACCGUUGCCCCCUGCAUCCAAACGGCUGAUCACGGCGUAUUGACCCAUAACUGAUAUCUUUUGCAUUCGUCGUUUCACUGCAAAUCGAGCACACCAACAGAGCAACAAUGCAAAGUGUAAAUGUCUUGGAGAUGGCCAUUGAUCUUCAAAACAAAUUACAAAUGGCUCUAGACUUGGAUAAUGAGGACUAUGAGAGAGAGAGAGGAUUUUGGAGGAGAUGAUGAUUACGAGACUGAGAAACCUUCAAUUUAAUGUGAUGUUCUUUGCUAACUUUAGGCAAUUUUGCUAGGGAUUAAACCUAAAUUGUUAUUUUUUGUUAUUGAUUAUUGGUGUGGCUCAAAGAGACACAUUGGUAGUAUAACUUUAAUUAGACUUAUGGUUUAGAAGAGCCAAAUUUAGAAAUUCCAUUCAACUUUUUCCAAUUGGUUCUUCAGUAACUUGAAUGAAAAGGUUCUGCCAUGCUACCAAAAUGUGGCCUUCUACUCUCUAUGUAUAUUUGUGCGAAUUUUUUUUUUUGAUAAGUUAAAAAACUUAUAUGAACUCAAAGUCAGAAUUGUAAUCUAAAAAGAAACGAACAAAAUGUAAUUCACAUAACAACUUUAUAAAAUGCAUCAAAACAUCACUCGUCAUGCAUUUUUUGAUGCCAAAGUAUCAAUUAACUUUGCAUAACAAUUUGUUCUACCAUGUAUUUUUCAAUAUAAAAUAUAAGGAAUAGUCUUGGGGGUUUUUACCUUUCUUUUCUUCCUUGAAUAUCUUUUCCUCUUGCAGUAGAUAUUCAAUAAUAAACUGCUUUUUUUUUUUUUUUUUUAUUGUGUUGAUUAUAGCAAAUUUUCCCAUCUAAUGUAUAUGCUACUAGGUUAACCUAUUCAACUAGGUUAACUUAUUAAACUGGUUUAACUUUAAAAAAAUUAGUCCCUUAUUAAGUUUCCAUUUUUUUAAUUUUAGAGUAAAUAAUUGGACUCUAAAAAAAAAUAGUACUUGGGCUUAAUAUAAUAUUAAUAUAGUAUAAUUUUUAAAGUAACAUACAUAUGUAUAUAUAGAGGUUUAUAAAAGUUGGCGGACCUUUCGAUUUGGAGGCCCUAGGCGACGGCCUUGCCCGCCUAUAUUAAAGGUGGAAGUACUGACGGUCUAUAAGAGUCCAAGAUACGAUCUCAAAUAUCCAUGCUCAGGGUGUGUUAUGAGCACAUAGCUUAAAGUCAGAUAUAUGCCUCUAAAACACUGAACCCAUCCAAAAAUAAUAGUAGAAAAUACAGAAUGUAUAUGAAAGUAGUAGAACAGAAGUACAGAUAAUCAAACUCUAGUUGUGUGUCAAAAGGUCAAUUAUGCAUGUCUAGGUCAAAUGUGAAGGAGAAUCAAACAUCAAUACAAUCAAAAAUCCUAGACUCUGAUGUGCUACAACGAGGCCUCGUUAAAAUCUUGCUAUAAGAACCUUCAGUAAGGAAAAUCCGAUCAAGAAAAACGAGUAUUAUAUACCACCACCAACAAUUUGAACAUGUAUAAUAUGCGUGUGCAAUUGUAAAAAUACGUACUUUUAUAAGAAGAACCAUGUUGUUUCCAAAUGGGUCAUCUUUCAAAGUGUUGUAGAACAUUUGUGGGUACUAAACAAAUGCACCAUCUUUUUCAUGCUUGAAACCAAGUAAUAGGCACAUCACAUAAGGAACGAUCUUUGAAUUGUUGGCAUACAUAUCGCAGUCGACGUUCAACAUAAAUGGAGCAAAGGCGCACGGCUUCGGAAGGACAUAUAAGGGGUAUUGGGGUCCGCAUGGACAACUCAAGCGCAAGGAAAAAGGAAAAAAGGAAAAAAAAAAAAGUCAUGGACACCUUGGAUCGGUUGACAGACCAAAGGCUCAUGGCUCCAGAAGAACAGUUAAGGGGUAUUGGGGCCCGCAUGAAUAGUUCAAGUGUAAGGAAAAAGGAAAAAAGGGAAAGAAGAAGAAGAAAAAAAAAGUGUCAUGAACACCUUGGAUCGGUUGAGAAACCGAAGGCACACGGUUCCAGAAUGACAACUAAGGGGUAUUGGAGCCCGCAUGGACAGGUAAAGUGCAAGAGGAAAAAAAAAAAAAAAAGGUCGUGAAUACCUUGGAUCGGUUGAGAGACCAAAGGUGCACGGCUUAGGAAGGACAACUAAGGGAUAUUGGGGACCGCAUGGACGGCUCAAGUGUAAGAAAAAAAAAGGCUCAUGGACACCUUGGAUCAGUUGAAGAACCAAAGGCACACGGGUCCGAAAGGACAGCUCAGGGGUAUUGGAAUCCCAAAUGGAUCGGCUAGUAAAGAGAAAGCAAGGAGCAUGGAGCCCACCGAACUGGCAAAAGCUCAAAACCAGGGCACCCCCAACCUGGGUUGGGAUUGGCUAGCAAAGAAAAACCAAGAGGCAUAGGACCCACCGGAUUGGUAAAAGCUCAAAACCAAGCGCACCCCACCUGGGAUUGGGAUCGGCUAGCAGAGAGAAACCGAGGGGCAUGGGACCUACCGGACAGGCAAGAAUUUAAACCAGGCACACCUCAAAUUCAUUUGGGAUCAGCUAGGAAAGAGAAAGCAAUGAGCAUAGGGCCCACCAGAUUGGCAAAAGCUCAAAACCAAGCGCACCCCAACCGGGGUUGGGAUCGACUAGCAAAGAGAAAGCAAGGAUCAUGGGGCCCAUUGGAUCGGCAAAAGCUUAAAGCCAAGUGCAACCUAACUGGGAUUGGGAUCGGCUAGCAGAGAGAAACCGAGGGGCAUGGGACCUACCGGACAGGCAAGAAUUUAAACCAGGCACACCUCAAAUUCAUUUGGGAUCGGCUAGGAAAGAGAAAGCAAUGAGCAUAGGGCCCACCAGAUUGGCAAAAGCUCAAAACCAAGCACACCCCAACCGGGGUUGGGAUCGACUAGCAAAGAGAAAGCAAGGAUCAUGGGGCCCAUUGGAUCGGCAAAAGCUUAAAGCCAAGUGCAACCUAACUGGGGUCGAUUAGCAAAGAGGAAAAUGUGUAUGGGCCCACCGGAUUGGCAGAGGUGCAGAAAUCCAAAAUAAAGAAAAGAGUCCACUUGCGCAUGGGAUUAGUUGUCCGCACUUGGAUACUCCACAUGGGGAUAACAGUCCACAGUUGGAACUUGAAAAGUUAGCAACGUGUAUGAAAAUUCAUAUUUGGAUAUUUCACAUGCAAGGUGUGAAAGCAACGUGCAUGGGUUGGUGAUAGGCCAAUAGGAAUCAUAUUUUUGGGUUUGACCAGUAAGCCUAAGAAAGAAAACAUAUGGCUUAUUUGGGCUCAGCCAUGAGCCCAUCAUGACGACAUGCGCUUAAUUCGAAGAAAUCUUGUUCCAAAGUCCCACUUAGAUCAUUUUUUCCCUUUCCACCUGCGAAGCGUGUAGAGAGAAAAAAAAUGGGGGCAUUGUGGGGAUCAAAUCUCACGUAUCAUGGCUUAACCCAUAUGCCACAACUAAAAGACGUGGGACAAUCAAACUUCCCUCCCACGAGAGAAGUGCGAAGCGAGGGAGACACGCUCAUCUGAUCCCAUUACCAUGGAAUGGAGGACGGGAUGCGCAAAGCUAGGGAAGUGGGGCUAAACCCAAGAACUCGAAGCGCUAUAAAAAUCCGGCUAGACCUCCAGCAAAAGGUACGAGAAAUUCAAUUGAACACUAAGAGUACAUUGCACAAACAUUGACUUGAGCGUCAGAGUGACUUUUGCAGGUACUCACCCUAUUCCCACCGUUCGACCUCGGGAACGUAAUCCAGAGUUUUCUUUCAACCAAGGAAGCGUGCGGACUUCAGUCAAGAACCUGUAGAGGUAUUUCUUCUUGAAAGAAAUCCUGCUCCAACAAAGGAAGAGAUUGAGAAUUAGCCAUUUGGAAACAGAUAGAGGUGUGGAUGAGAUUUUCAGUCUAAGGUGGCCAGUGCCAACUGAGUGAGUACAUAUAGACAAAUGGUAUCAGGUAUCAGCACCUUCAAACAGAUCAAGGCUAGCGGUAGCCCAAUUGACAUAUUGCAUAUACACGUGUUUGGUGCAAGUUUACCAUCUAAGUUUGAUAUCCAUUGUUGGGCCACUCUCUCACUGCCCAAGUUUUUCGAGGUUAGGAGUUGUCUGACCUCAGUUCAAUUUAUGAGUGGCUCUCAGUUCAAUUUAUGUUCCUAUUUUUUUGUUGGCUUGCAAGAUGUAUGAUGUGGCUACACCUAUAUGUUUAUCUCUCUCCUCCUAUUGAUUUACCUCUUCAUGUGCAUGGUGCAAGCUUGAUACACAUUAUCAACCCAUUCUCUAGCAGCUUAAGUUUUUGAGGCUCAUGAUGACCUAACACAUGAUAAUACCAUUUCGAAAAAAUAGCAUAAGAUUGUAGGCCCUUUUGUUUAUGUUUCUGAUUUAGUUUUUCUCUAGGAAAUUGUGAGACUUAGAUCGAUGUUAUCAAAUGCAGAACAUGCUCGCCAGUUUUACAAUCGGAUCUCGUGAUACUUAUGAUUGCCAGUUUUAAUCCAAAUGCAUAAAGUUGAAAAACAUAUUGUACCCUUUGCAAAAUUAACUUCUGCACAAGGUGCAGAACAUGAGUGUGAGCCCAGCAGACUUAAAAAUGGUGGACAAGGGAAUUCCAUAUUUCCCAGAACCAAACAACCCUUUCAAAAAUGGCCAGAGGCAGAGCACCAAGCACACACUGCCUGCAACCUCUAAUCGGCCUGACCCGAGCCCAUC
rnacentral:lncRNA from 1 species